UCUGUGUUCUGUUUUGGUUUUCCAGCUGUUCUGUGAUGUUCCACAACCACCAUAAAUGCUCAUUCCACCUUGGCUUUUUCAAGCAUGCUGCUAUUUUAGAUUUUUUUUAUAUAGUACUUCUGCAAAACCCAGCUUCCCCUAAGCAGGCCAAUACUUCCCACUUAUUUCUCUGUGGCCCACAUUUGUGCCAGUCCUGCUGGAAUUCACCACCAAAGCUUCUCGGAAGAAAGAAUAAUAUAACCACACAAGACUCAAUAAUAGUUUCCACAAAUAUUGUUGACCCAGAAGUUCAGCUGUUCACAAUCAUGCUCCACCUGGGCCAUGAUGAUUAGAGGGCUCAUCACAAAGACUAUUGCUUUGCCUGGCUUCAAGGAGGAAAGAGAGGGGCAGCGGGACAAAUCUGUCGCCCUGCUUGUAGCUCCCUGUCUGCAACACUUUCUCCCAUCACACGGUGGAAGCGUUGCCCUUCUGUGGAGGGCCCAUUCUGUUUCCAUAGAAGCCAGCACAACACUGGAAGCUUCAUGUUGUGGGGGAAGCCUAUGGUGACACUUUCACCCCAGCUGGGGAUGGGGUCAGCGUCGAAAGACACAUGAUGUUGUGUGAUGGCCAGCGUGGGCUCCGUCCAGAAGACAGUGUGAAAGCAUCCUAGGACACUUUUUUAGCUGCCUCUGUAAGCAAGUAAAGCUGUCUGCAGGCAGAGAUGGUCCAAAUAUUCAGCAAGAUGAUGUGGAAAGCCUCAAAUGACAAACCUGGAGACAGAGCAUAAAUCCCCGCCUGCAGGCUGUGACGUCAAGAUAAACCCUGAUUAAUCCUGGUGCAGAUCCUAGUCGGCCAACCAGAUGAGAGAGCCAGAAGUCUGAAUAGCUGUCAGAACUGUAUAAGAUGUCCUGUUUUUCUGUAUUUAUGUUUGUACAUUUUGAAGCAAAUUGCUUGUACUUGCAUCUUUUUUGGCCAAAUCAUAAUAUUCUUUUGACUGUGUUGACUUCAAUCUGGGGAGCUUGUUUCUCUGUCCUGGCUCAGAUGAGCUUUAGCACAUGCUCACCAGGCAUGGACCUCUUAACUGUGGUCCUAGCUGAAAUCACCACCCUACUCCUGUUUCAAAGCAAACACAGAAAAAUUGCACUUCUCAGUAGGAUUACUUUGUAUGAGAAUUUUUUUUAAAAAAUAUUUUUUAUUCAAAUUUCAAAGUUUACAGUGAAACAGGGGA